rnacentral:rRNA from 1 species
GACGUAGGGUGCGAGCGUUGUCCGGAUUUAUUGGGCGUAAAGAGCUCGUAGGCGGCUUGUCGCGUCGACCGUGAAAACUUGGGGCUCAACCCCAAGCCUGCGGUCGAUACGGGCAGGCUAGAGUUCGGUAGGGGAGACUGGAAUUCCUGGUGUAGCGGUGAAAUGCGCAGAUAUCAGGAGGAACACCGGUGGCGAGGGCGGGUCUCUGGGCCGUAACUGACGCUGAGGAGCGAAAGCAUGGGGAGCGAACAGG